GUUUCCCUGGAAAAUAUAUGAAUGGCAAGUGAAUGGGAAGUUGACUCCUUUGUUACUUAGUUUCAAUAUUUAUCUAGAUUGGGAAUCUCCUUCUGAUGCAGAAUAAAUGGACAGUUCUCCCAAUGGAGUGAUGUAGAAAGCCAAGUCCCCCAAGAUUCUUGGAAUUCCAAUUUCAGGCCAUCCAUGAAAAUGAAACUGUCGGACAAGUCUGCCCAGCUUCUCCUGGUCAUUCAAAGGCAAGAAAACCACAAAUUCAAUGCAGCUUCAAGAGUGGAACGGAACACUGGAAGCCAGCCACAGACCUUAUUAUCUAUAGGAACCUUUUCAUAUAUGGUCAAUGUAAAUUAAUCAUGUGAUUUAUAUAAGUGGGUUGGAAUGUCCUUAAGAAAAAUUUCAUUUCCGCAUCACACUUUAGGCUAUUCAUAACAAAAUAUGUUUUUUUAAAAAUUGGGCAAAGUGGUCAUACCUGCUCCCUUUCAAGAACUUCGAGAUUUCUAGUUGGUUCACCUGAUCCCAAACCACAUAAACCUUCACCUGUGUUCUUUUAUGUUACACCUAUAUGGAAAGCAAUUUUUUAAAACCUGGAAACUAAGACACACUGCUUUUGUUUUCUGCAGGCAAGGUAGGUAGCUAGAAAGUGUGUUUUAUAGGGACUGGAUAUGUACAGUUCAAUUUCUAGUAGCUUGUAUGUAUUACUUGUAUCUAGGUUAGAUUACUGCAAUGUGUUAUAUGUGGGGCUGCCUCUGAAGACAGUUCAGAAACUUCAGCUGCUGUAAAAUUCAGUUGCCAAGUUUUCACUGGGGCAAGACAAGCUGAGCAUAUAGUGCUAAUCCUUGCCCAACAGCACUUGCUGCCAAUUGGUUUCUGGGCCCAUUUUAAAGUGUUGGUGCUGACCUAUGAAGCCUUAAGCAGCUCAGGACCUCAAUACCUUAAGGACCGCUUCUCCCUAUAUGGACCUACCCAGACCCUGCGUUUGGAGGGCCUUUUCUUUGUCCCUCCCCUCCCCAAAAGGUUCAGAGGCUGACAACAUGAGAACAGGCCUUUUUUGUGCUGGCUCCCCAUUUGUGAAAUGCUCUCCCCAGAGAGGCUUGCUUGGUGCCAUCGUUACAUGUCUUUAGGUACCAGGCAAAAACAUUCCUCUUUACCCAAGCCUUUGGCCAUUAAAUAUUCUAUGGCUUUUUAAAUGUGGAGAGACUGUUAUUAUGAUUUUUCUGUGGGGUUUUUUUUUUUUACUAUGCUAUGUAAGUUAUGUUUUUAAUAUUGUACACUGCCCUGGGAUCUUUGGAUAAAGCAUGGUAUAUUAAAUUAAAGUAAAGUAAGUUAAAAAAUAAAGGUAGUGUGUGCAUAUUAAACAGUAAGUAUUACACACAGAAUCAUAGAAUUGUAAGGUUGGAAUAGAUCCUGUGGGCCAUCUAGUCCAACCCCCUGCAUUACAGGAAAGCUGAACAUUGAU